UACGAAGGGGGCGAGCGUUGUUCGGAAUUACUGGGCGUAAAGGGCGCGUAGGCGGCGACCCAAGUCAGAUGUGAAAGUCCUGGGCUUAACCUGGGGACUGCAUUUGAUACUGGGUUGCUUGAAUUCGGGAGAGGAUAGCGGAAUUCCCAGUGUAGAGGUGAAAUUCGUAGAUAUUCGUAAGAACACCAGUGGCGAAGGCGGCUCACUGGCCCGAUACUGACGCUGAGGUGCGAAAGCGUGGGGAGCAAACAGG
rnacentral:rRNA from 1 species